AAAGUCGAAGAUGGUUCGGAUAUCUUUCCAACGAGCUAUAAUACACCCUGAUCCAAUAUCAUUAGCCACAUGAAAUCUUUUUUUAAAAGGUAGGAAGUAAUUCUGGAAAAUUGUUGUGUUCUGCUCUGAUGUAGAAAUUCGUAUGCCUGUUUUGACUGAUAUGCUUCGGUCUCUGGAACGAGCUGGUAGAUGAUGUUAUUAGGACUUAAUGUCUUCUAGAGAUUUGUAAUAGACUUCUCAAGCUUUCCAUAGACAUAUUAUAUGUGCGAUUUGGCCAUCAUUUGCCCUGCCUGAUGCUUCUUGCAAAGAGCACUAAUCUGCUGAUGCGUUCUGCUUGUUAUGAUCUGAUCUGACCACUUAUACAAAUGGCUUUACUUGAGCUAGAAAAAGACCUAAAUUGCAAUUGUCACCUAAUAGGAAUUCGUAAAGGACACCUCGAGCUUUCUAACAAUGCCUAGUUUGUCCAAUUUUCCCAUCAUUUGCCCUGCUCUUCUUUUUUUUUAGAUCGAGUUUUGAAGUCUGAAUUUGUCUUGACCUGCAGUGCUGUCUUGUCUCUAUGAAUCUGACUGUCUACCAAUUUUGUGAGAUCUUAUACAUAAUGAUCUUGAGGAUAAAUUCUCAAUGAAAGCUGUCCAUAAUAUCCAUAUCCAUCCCAUGCUAAAAUUUGAGAAUUUUUAAGGUCAAGUAACAUUAGAAUUCAAGUUGACAUGUAGCAAUUUAAAUUGUUAUGCAUUUUGCUCCUAAUGACAAGUCACAUAUCAAUAUUAAUGGAUUUGUGUGGCCUUUUGCACGUGGAUUUAGGGUUAAAUGUCUAAAUCAAACUUUUUCUUCACAUUUAACCCUACGUCAUGUUCAAAUUUCAUGGUUUUCAUGCAUUGAUUAGGUGGCUUAACAAGUCUGUUAUCAUGCAUCAUUUUCUGGUUUGCUUGUGAUUGAUUUGCAUGCUUUAGCAAUUGUUGCUUUUCGGCCAUGAGUUUGACUUUACUUGAACUUGAUACGCCUCAAGAAAUUCCAUUCAUGAAAGUUGCUCUUUAUAAAGUGCCUGAUUUCUGUGUUUUUUUUCUUAGAGCCAAUCAUACAUGGGUUCUACCCCAAUUGCUUUGAUCUUAGUUGUGAUGAUUGUUUCUUUCACUUGUAUGCACCUAGUCAUAAAAAUUUCUUAGAUUAGGUUUAGAUUAGGACCUUGAAGAUGGAGAAGGCGUGAAGAUGGUGGAGGUCGAUGUCCAUUCCGACCAUUUUCAUGUAAUACCCGUUUUCCCGACAUAUGUCUCGGGCUCCAUGCAUUGUAUAAAACCCGACGAGUUGCGGGUUUGCUUUCUUUUCUUUUUAAUUGUUUUCUCUUUUAUAUUUUUUU
rnacentral:lncRNA from 1 species